UGAAAUCCCCGGGCUUAACCUGGGAAUUGCGUUUGAAACUGCAGAACUAGAGUGCGGCAGAGGGAGGUGGAAUUCCAUGUGUAGCAGUGAAAUGCGUAGAGAUAUGGAAGAACAUCGAUGGCGAAGGCAACCUCCUGGGCUAGCACUGACGCUCAUGCACGAAAGCGUGGGGAGCAAACAGGAUUAGAUACCCUGGUAGUCCACGCCCUAAACUAUGUCAACUAGUUGUCGGGUCUUAUUGGGCUUGGUAACGUAGCUAACGCGUGAAGUUGACCGCCUGGGGAGUACGGUCGCAAGAUUAAAACUUAAAUGAAUUGACGG
rnacentral:rRNA from 1 species